rnacentral:misc_RNA from 1 species
CAUCCACUAGAAGUUCAUUCUCUUUCGCCACACUCAUGAAACAUCUUGUGGGAGCACAUUAUCAGCUAGAAUAAAGUGUUUAAAAUGCCGCCUAAGAAAGGGCAGCAGCCCAACAAGAAAACUGAACAGAAGAAGAAAGACAAAAUUAUUGAGGAUAAAACAUUUGGUUUAAAAAACAAGAAAGGAUCAAAGAACCAGAAGUAUAUUCAGACUGUAACAAAACAAGUUCAAUAUGGAAACCAAAAAGCCUCAAGGGUGGAUGAAUUACAACAGAACAAAAACAAGAAGGAAGAAAAGAAGAAAGAACAGGAAGAAUUAAACAAGUUGUUUAAGCCUGUAACUGCAGCACAAAAAGUUGCCAAAGGUGUUGAUCCAAAGUCUGUCUUGUGUGCAUUCUUCAAGCAAGGGCAGUGUAAGAAAGGUGAUAAGUGCAAGUUUUCCCAUGAUAUAACAAUACAAAGAAAAGCAGAGAAGAGAAGUAUGUACGAGGAUGAAAGGGAUGAGAAAGAAAAAGAUACUAUGGACAAUUGGGAUGAUGAAAAAUUAAAGGAUGUUGUCAAUCAAAAGCAUGGUGAAGCAGAGACUAAAACACCUAAAACAGAUAAAGUUUGCAAGUUCUUCCUUCAAGCUAUUGAGGAUUGCAAGUAUGGAUGGUUUUGGAUCUGUCCAAAUGGUGGUGACAAGUGUAUGUAUAAACACGCACUUCCACAAGGAUUUGUGCUCAAGAAAAAUAAAAAGACAGAAGAUGAUGAUGAUGAGGAGAAGAUAUCUCUGGAGGAGCUGAUUGAGGAAGAGCGGGCCAAACUUGCUUCUUCCAAUCUUACCAAACUCACAUUGGAAAGUUUUACUGCUUGGAAGAAAAGGAAGAUAGCUGAGAAAAAGAGGAAUUUUGAGGAAAAGAUGACAAAGAAAAAGAAUGACUUCAAGCAAGGAAAAGCUCUUGGGCUUAGUGGAAGAGAGGUCUUUGAGUUCAAGCCAGAAUUAGCUGAUGCAGAUGACGAGGGAGCAGAUGAUACCAAAUAUGAAAGGGAAGUAGAAGAUGAGGAAGAAGUGGACACUGGUCCAGUAAAAGAAAUCACAUUAGAAGCAAUGGGUAGCUUGGCAACAGAAGUAGACAACACUGGUACUAUUUCAAGUGGUUCUCAACGUGAAGGACCAGUUAGUGCUACAAUGGAAAAUAGUUUACCUGGUGCAAGUCAAAUGGAAGAUGAAUCGUCAAAGCUAGGAAUGGCCGGAGCAUUGCCUUCAGAUGCAACUCAAGUUAAUGGUGUACCAAUUGAUGAGGGAGUAUUCGCUGGUGAAGAUGUGCCCGUUGAUGAAGAUUUAUUCACAAAUGAACUUGACGAUUUAGAUGACGAAUUAGAUGGGAUAGAUUUGGACGAUUGAUGUGAAAGUACGGGAUGGGUUGUGGCAUUGGAAUAAACAUGUAAAGUGGAAAGUGACACAUGUCGAAAUGAGAAAUUUUUUAAUAAAUAUUUAAAUAUCAUUUAUUGAUUGUAAUACAUCAUGAAUAAAGUGUUGUUGCUAUUACAUCCAUCACUGUGCCCGUAAUAAAGGGACAGAUUUUCAUAAUUUGGCAUUUACUUUAAAUCUAAUACAAAACACAUAACGUGUUGCAUGUCAACAUAAAUUUUGUUUGGCUAGUGCAUAUAUUUGUCUAUUAACCUGGUGGUAACUAUUUUAUUGUGUGUUAACUUCUUGCUUGAUGUAUAAGUUACCAGAAAAAUACUGAAAUACUGCACUCAAUGAAAAAAAAAAUUGUCAAAUAUAUUAUAUACACCCAAAAACCUGCUUUGUUAUGUGUGAAGAUAAUUUUAUUUCUUAGGAAAAGUAUGAAAUAAAUACCCAAACGUCACAAAAAAA